CUUUCUUUGCUGGCGACCGGCGCACGGGUGAGUAACACGUAUCCAACCUGCCCUUUACUCGGGGAUAGCCUUUCGAGAGAAAGAUUAAUACCCGAUAGUAUAAUGAUUCCGCAUGGUUUCAUUAUUAAAGGAUUCCGGUAAAGGAUGGGGAUGCGUUCCAUUAGGUUGUUGGUGAGGUAACGGCUCACCAAGCCUUCGAUGGAUAGGGGUUCUGAGAGGAAGGUCCCCCACAUUGGAACUGAGACACGGUCCAA
rnacentral:rRNA from 1 species